rnacentral:rRNA from 1 species
AUGGCUGAAAUGGCCGUGAAGUUAAAAGAUGCUACCGACCGCAAUGAGGCUCUUGGGAAGGAGCGCCUAGCGGGGCAAGAAGACCUGGGGAAGGCCACCGCCGAAGCCAAGGAUGCCCGCUCUGCAAUGCGGGCUAUAAAGGAAGAGCUGCGCCAGGCCGGAGAUAUUGUAGCUGGCAAGCCUUUUCUGUUGCGCCGAAGGUUUACGGAUCCAAAGUAUGCUCAGCUGGGCCAACUGUGGGGUCUAGAGGACCCUUAUAUGGAUUUAGCAGCGAGUGCGGCGGAUGCCGUUGUGCAUUUUCGAAGCUAG